GUGUGAAGUUGGUGGUGUGCAUUUGACUCGUCAAGUAUUGGACACAUGAGGCAGCCAUGAGAAUUCCACAAGUUGUGAAGCAGACACUGUGGUGUAUCUGCCCUCGUGCUCUCACCUCCAUGCCAGAUGGCCAUUAAGAAGGACCAUAAAUGUGUGGAUUGUGCAGGCAAACAUUGUGGUUCCAUCGGUUUCCAUAGUUG